rnacentral:lncRNA from 1 species
CGGGAGGCCGCUUCACACAGGCUGCCCGCGGGAUGCAGAGGGCGGGCCCCGGCGGCCAGGAUGGGGGGCAGUCCCUGCGGGUUCUAGGGGGCUCCUGGGGGCCAUGGCUGGGGGGCCCUCCGCAGGAGCAAGAAAAAGCCUCUUUAAAAGGGCAGGGUUGUCCCCUCUGAUUCAGCUGUCCAGGCAGGGUGGGGUGGGGGAAGGGCGGCGGGUUCACCUCUCCCCCCUAAACGUCAGGGCGCUAAGAAGGCCUGGCCGCGCGGCUGCCGAAUUCCUGCCGGGGUCCGCCGGUGGGGGACGAGGGUGAGGGAAGCAGGCAGCCCCCUUCCCCGCGCCUCUCACCCCGCGCAGCUCCACCGGCGGCCCCCGGCUCCGCAUCCCGGGCCACGAUCGCCGGGCGGGCGGGGCUGGCGGAGCCCCCCCCCCCCCAGGACGGGGUGGCGCGCCCCUCGGCCUCCUCACGCGCGGGGCGGCCGGGCGGCCCCCAUCCUCAGCAUCGGGCUCCCGGUCGGCCCCAGCCCCUGCCCCCGCCCGCGCCGCUUCCCGGGGCCGCAGGCAGUGCCUGAGUGACGUGCACGCUGCCGCCGUGCCGCGGUGCCGCCUGGGAGUUGUAGUCUCCGGCAGCGCGACUUCCUGGUCGGUCCCCAGUCCCCCAGCCUCCAGAGCCCGGCUGCGGGCCUCGGGCCGAAGUGAGGAGUGCGCGUGGGCGAAGGAAUUCUCCCGGGGAGAUAAGCCUGGCCUCAGGCCCUCCCUGGGACGCCGUAGGCCGGACGCCUGGAGGAGGAGAGGAGGAGAGGGCCGAGCGCUCCUCACAGGCCCUGCGGGGGCCGCGGCCCAAGGGUCCUUCUGCUCAGGAAAUGAAUCUGAGGCCAGGCAACAUCUUGGUGAUGCUCCAGCCUUUCCAGCUGACUUGGUGUAGAGGACCUGUGGGAUGUGCUGAGGAGGAUUGAGAGAGAGGUGAGGACAGCAGGAGUUAGGGAGGGGGAAGGGGGGCAGAAGCACUCUCUCAGGCCCGAAACCAGAUUCUCUGAAUAGGUGUGGGUGAGGAAGGCAUUUUAUGACGUCUAGAAACACAGGGGGAAAUGCAGGAAGGGAAUGAUGUCCAGUGAGUUUAGGACUAAGUGAUUCAGAGGUGGCGCGAGCAUCCCAGCCCUCUUUUGCCUCUCUUGAUUAACUCGGGAGGCUCAUUCAAUCAUAAAUAAUUGCAUCUAUUCACCUUUAUUAAUUCCCUCCCCCAGACUUCAUGUAUGACAAAUUCAUUCUCUCACUGGAAAAAUAUUUCCUGAGCACAAUCAAUGUAUUGGGCAUAUAGCAGCUGAGCAGUCAGUCUCUGCCUUCACACAGCUCCAAAUCUGGGAGAGCAAGCUCUCACAAGAGUGAAUAUUUCACAAAAUGGUUUAAAGACUCAAACAUAAGACAUGAUACCAUAAAACUCCCAGAAGAGAGCAUAGGCAAAACAUUCUCUGACAUAAAUGUAAUGUCCAUCAACAGAUGAAUGGAUAAAGAAGAUGUGGUACAUAUAUACAAUGGAAUAUUACUCAGCCAUAAAAAAGAAUGGAAUAAUGGCAUUUGCAGCAACCUGGAUGCAACACAACUAGAGAUCAUCAUACUAAGUGAAGUAUGUCAGAAAGAGAAAGACAAAUACCAUAUGACAUCACUUCUGUGUGGAAUCUAAAAUAUGGCACAAAGGAACCUAUCUGUUGAUCCAGAACAGAAGCAGACUCAUAGACAUAGAGAACAGACUUGUGGUUGCCAAGGGGGAUGGGGGGAGGGAGAGGGAGGGACUGGGAGUUUGGGGUUGGCAGGUGCAAACUAUUACCUUUAGAAUGGAUAAACAACAAGGUCCUACUGUAUAGCACAGGGAACUCAAUUCAAUAUCCUGUGAUAAACCAUAAUGGAAAAGAAUGUAGAAAAGAAUGUAUAUAAGUGUAUAACUGAGUCACUUUGCUGUACAGCAGAGAUUGGCC